rnacentral:tRNA from 1 species
CGGAAUUAAGUUCCCUGGAUUGAGUAUUUAGUUAAUUUGAAUAUUACGAAAUAAGCCCGUUUGUGAGGA